rnacentral:lncRNA from 1 species
GGGCAGCCGCUCCCCUCCAGCUGUUGGGUUUUUUUUAUUAUUUAUUAUUACAGAUAGAAUCCUGGAAAACGACAGAGCAAACCAUGGCUACAGCCUUCUUCCAGCACUCCACUGGAGACGAGUCAACAUUCGAUAGGAGAGAUCCCAGGACUCCAUGGCCACAUGCUGAGGAAGCCUCAGCGCUGAACACGGACGUGAGCCCAUGACACGACAACAUUCGACAGGAGAGUUCCCUGGACUUCAUGACCACAUGCUGAGGAAGCCUCAGCGCUGGACACCGAUGCGAGCCCCUGACACCUCAGCGUUCGACAGGAGAGAUACUUGGACUCCAUGGCCACAUGCUAAGGAAGAUAGAAUGCUGGAAAACAACAGAGUAAGACCAUGGCUACAGCCUUCUUCCAGCACUCCACUGGAGACGGGUCAACAUCAGACAGGAGAGAUCCCUGGACUCCACGGCCACUUGCUAAGGAAGCCUCAGCGCUGGACACAGACGCGAGCCCAAGACACGUCAACAUUCGACAGGACAGAUCCUUGGACUUCAUGGCCACAUGCUGAGGAAGCCUCAGUGCUGGACAUGGACACGAGCCCAUGAUACCAUGCUCCUGGCUGCCUCUCCUUGACGCUCCGCUGGAGACGCUGCAGCAUCCCACGGGACAGUCCUACAGAGGA